UACGAAGGGGGCUAGCGUUGCUCGGAAUUACUGGGCGUAAAGGGCGCGUAGGCGGACAGUUUAGUCAGAGGUGAAAGCCCAGGGCUCAACCUUGGAAUUGCCUUUGAUACUUGGCUGUCUUGAGUUCGGGAGAGGUGAGUGGAAUGCCGAGUGUAGAGGUGAAAUGCGUAGAUAUCUGGAGGAACACCGGUGGCGAAGGCGGCAUUCUGGACCGAAUAUUGACGC
rnacentral:rRNA from 1 species